rnacentral:rRNA from 1 species
AUUGAACGCUGGCGGCAGGCCUAACACAUGCAAGCCGGGCGAGCGGCGGACUGGUGAGUAAUGUCUGGGGAUCUGCCUGAUGGAGGGGGAUAACUACUGGAAACGGUAGCUAAUACCGCGUACCAUCAGAUUCACCCACAUGUGAUUAGCUUGUAGGUAGGGUAACGGCUCACCAGGGCGACGAUCCCUACCUGGGCUGCGAGGAUGAUCAGCCACACUGGGACUGAGACACGGCCCAGACUCCUACGGGAGGCAGCAGUGGGGAAUAUUGAACAAUGGGCGCAAGCCUGAUGCAGCCAGGCCGCGUGUAUGAAGAAGGCCUUCGGGUUGUAAAGUACUUUCAGGCGGGAGGCGUUACCGACAGAAGAAGCACCGGCUAACUCCGUGCCAGCAGCCGCGGUAAUAC